GGGGCGUGCCUAAUACAUGCAAGUCGAGCGAAGUUUUUCUGGUGCUUGCACUAGAAAAACUUAGCGGCGAACGGGUGAGUAACACGUAAAGAACCUGCCUCAUAGACUGGGACAACUAUUGGAAACGAUAGCUAAUACCGGAUAACAGCAUUAACUGCAUGGUUGAUGUUUAAAAGUUGGUUUUGCUAACACUAUGAGAUGGCUUUGCGGUGCAUUAGCUAGUUGGUGGGGUAAAGGCCUACCAAGGCGACGAUGCAUAGCCGACCUGAGAGGGUGAUCGGCCACACUGGGACUGAGACACGGCCCAGACUCCUACGGGAGGCAGCAGUAGGGAAUCUUCCGCAAUGGGCGAAAGCCUGACGGAGCAACGCCGCGUGAGUGAAGAAGGAUUUCGGUUCGUAAAGCUCUGUUGUUAGGGAAGAAUGAUUGUGUAGUAACUAUACACAGUAGAGACGGUACCUAACCAGAAAGCCACGGCUAACUACGUGCCAGCAGCCGCGGUAAUACGUAGGUGGCAAGCGUUGUCCGGAAUUAUUGGGCGUAAAGCGCUCGCAGGUGGUUUAAUAAGUCUGAUGUGAAAGCCCACGGCUCAACCGUGGAGGGUCAUUGGAAACUGUUAAACUUGAGUGCAGGAGAGAAAAGUGGAAUUCCUAGUGUAGCGGUGAAAUGCGUAGAGAUUAGGAGGAACACCAGUGGCGAAGGCGGCUUUUUGGCCUGUAACUGACACUGAGGCGCGAAAGCGUGGGGAGCAAACAGGAUUAGAUAUCCUGGUAGUCCACGCCGUAAACGAUGAGUGCUAAGUGUUGGUCUCAUAAGAGAUCAGUGCUGCA
rnacentral:rRNA from 1 species